GCUUUUGGUUCAGUGGUAAAAUGCUCACCUGCCACGCGGGCGCCCCGAGUUCGAUUCCCGGCCGAUGCA
rnacentral:tRNA from 1 species